AUUGAACGCUGGCGGCAUGCUUUACACAUGCAAGACGAACGGCAGCACGGGUGCUUGCACCUGGUGGCGAGUGGCGAACGGGUGAGUAAUGCAUCGGAACGUAUCCAAUAAUGGGGGAUAACGCACCGAAAGGUGUGCUAAUACCGCAUACGCCCUGAGGGGGAAAGUGGGGGACCGUAAGACCUCACGUUAAUGGAGCGGCCGAUGCCUGAUUAGCUAGUUGGUGAGGUAAAGGCUCACCAAGGCGACGAUCAGUAGCUGGUCUGAGAGGACGACCAGCCACACUGGGACUGAGACACGGCCCAGACUCCUACGGGAGGCAGCAGUGGGGAAUUUUGGACAAUGGGCGCAAGCCUGAUCCAGCCAUGCCGCGUGAGUGAAGAAGGCCUUCGGGUUGUAAAGCUCUUUCGCAAGGAAAGAAAACUUAUCCCCUAAUACGGGAUGGGGAUGACGGUACCUUGAUAAGAAGCACCGGCUAACUACGUGCCAGCAGCCGCCGUAAAAC
rnacentral:rRNA from 1 species